UUCAUGGAGAGUUUGAUCCUGGCUCAGGACGAACGCUGGCGGCGUGCCUAAUACAUGCAAGUCGAGCGGACAGAUGGGAGCUUGCUCCC
rnacentral:ncRNA from 1 species